rnacentral:rRNA from 1 species
GAUGAACGCUGGCGGCGUGCCUAAUACAUGCAAGUCGAGCGAAGCGAGGACGGGGGAGUAACACGUAGAUACCCUCCUAUACGACUGGGAUAACUUCGGGUAACCGGAGCUAAACCGGAUACUUAGAGCUGGAUCCUCGGUGCAUUAGCUAGUUGGUAAGGGAACGGCUUACCAAGGCAACGAUGCAUAGCCGACCUGAGAGGGUGAGCGGCCACACUGUAACUGAGACACGGUCCAGACUCCUACGGUAGGCAGCAGUAGGGAAUCUUCCGCAAUGGGCGAAAGCCUGACGGAGCCACGCCGCGUGAGUGAUGAAGGUCUUCGGAUUGUAAAACUCUGUUAGUUGGGAAGCGGUACCUAAUCAGAAAGCACCGGCUAACUACGUGCCAGCCGCCGCGGUAAUAC